rnacentral:rRNA from 1 species
UACGUAGGGUGCAAGCGUUAUCCGGAAUUAUUGGGCGUAAAGAGCUCGUAGGCGGUUUGUCGCGUCUGCUGUGAAAACCCGAGGCUCAACCUCGGGCCUGCAGUGGGUACGGGCAGACUAGAGUGCGGUAGGGGAGAUUGGAAUUCCUGGUGUAGCGGUGGAAUGCGCAGAUAUCAGGAGGAACACCGAUGGCGAAGGCAGAUCUCUGGGCCGUAACUGACGCUGAGGAGCGAAAGCGUGGGGAGAGAACAGG